rnacentral:lncRNA from 1 species
CAAAAAAAACACAUAAAUUAAAAUUUCUAUGUACACUCCCACACUUAAGGUACACAUUGUCCUCAAUGUAUCCCCUGCUAAAGAUUAGUUUGAGAAAACUCCAUUGAUUUAAGAUUACUGCAAUAAAAUGUUAGAGUAGUCCUCAAACUUCAUUAAAGCUCUCAAAAUCGUGUAGCUCUCGGUGGGUAGACCUACAUAGAAAAAAAAUCAAACAUACCAAAAGCAAAAUAUUUCAACAAUAAGAAAAUAAAAACAAAAUAAGAAGUAGUAAAAAGAAAACUUAUCAACUUCAUGUGUUUGGUAUGUGAGAUAUGAAUACAACAACCAUGUAAAAAGAUAAAAUUCAUAAGUCAAACAUAAACAACAGUGAGUCACCAUGAAUUCAAGAAAACACAUGCCACUACCAACUCGAAGGGAUUUAUUAUUCUAAAAAAGAAUCAUUUAGACUGAAAAAUGACCAAAUUGGCUGAAGGAGAAAGAAUAAGUGGUAAAAAAGUUUUUGACCAUCAAUCGAUUGAGUAGCCAUAGAGGAUGGUGAAUAAAAAAGAAAGGACUUCAAAACACCUACUUGUUAUAUCCCUCUGUCCUCUGCCACUUGGACACGUGUCAACAAGAUAGAAUGUGUUGACCUCCCUUUGACUCCAUCUGAGACAAUGUCUUGGUACACCACCUGUCUCCGACCACGAGUGACACCCUUCUAUUAUCAAGGACAGUUGUUAGAUAUACAAGCCCCCCGCUCCUAGAUAAUAAGAUGAGCUUCUACUUCGGAGGCACUCGUUUUUAGGUGUAAACACUCCUUAUGCGUUAACACAUCCUCAAUGCAAUAAAGGGUCCAAUUGGGUGUAGCAACCUCAUAUUGAUUGAAUACAUAACAAAAUGGGUCACACGGUGUACAUCCUUUAUGCUCUGUAUGAUGGUAACUUUUCUUAUG